rnacentral:rRNA from 1 species
AUAUCAAUAAGCGGAGGAAAAGAAACUAACCAGGAUUCCCUUAGUAACGGCGAGUGAAGCGGGACAAGCUCAGACUGAAAAGCUUCGGCGUUGUAGUCUGGAGAAGUGAAGUCAGCAUUAAGUUUCGGAUAAAGUCUCUUGGAACAGAGCGCCGUGGAGGGUGAUAGCCCCGUUCGUAUCGAUGGAAUGAGUUAGUAGAUGCCUAUCAACGAGUCGAGUUGUUUGGGAUUGCAGCUCAAAGCGGGAGGUAAAUUCCUUCUAAAGCUAAAUACGGAUAGGAGACCGAUAGCGCACAAGUA